AAGACAGAAGUACAGGAAAGUGAA
rnacentral:piRNA from 1 species